UACAGAGGGGGCGAGCGUUGUUCGGAAUUACUGGGCGUAAAGGGCGCGUAGGCGGCACGGCAAGUCGGGAGUGAAAGCCCGGGGCUCAACCCCGGAACGUCUUUCGAAACUGCCGAGCUAGAGUGCGGAAGGGGCAACUGGAAUUCCCAGUGUAGCGGUGAAAUGCGUAGAUAUUGGGAAGAACACCUGAGGCGAAGGCGGGUUGCUGGGCCGACACUGACGCUGAGGCGCGAAAGCCAGGGGAGCGAACGGG
rnacentral:rRNA from 1 species